AUUGAACGCUGGCGGCAGGCCUAACACAUGCAAGUCGAACGGCAGCAGAGUAAUUGCUCGCUGUUACAGCGGGCGAGGGGUGGGUGGUGGCUGAAUACAUCGCUGGCUAUUGGGGCUAGGGUGAGAACGCGGGGGCUCUUACGCCAAUAGCCCUUAGGACGUAAGGGGGAGAGCAUGGGAUCUUCCGCCCUUGCGCGAGCCAAUGUGCGAAGGUCGGAUUAGCUAGUUGGCGGGGUAAAGGCCCACCAAGGCGACGAUCCGUAGCUGGUCUGAGAGGAUGAUCAGCCACACUGGAACUGAGACACGGUCCAGACUCCUACGGGAGGCAGCAGUGGGGAAUAUUGGACAAUGGGCGAAAGCCUGAUCCAGCCAUGCCGCGUGGGUGAAGAAGGCCUUCGGAUUGUAAAGCACUUUUGUUGGGGAAGAAGAGCAGUAAGUUAAUACCCUGCUGUUUUGACGCUACCAACAGAAUAAGCACCGGCUAACUUCGUG
rnacentral:rRNA from 1 species